rnacentral:lncRNA from 1 species
CGGGCGAGCGCGCUCUCUCCUCCAGUCCGGUGCCCCGGCCCAGCGUCCCCGUACCGUCCACCUGCGCCGGGCCAGAGCCUCACUCCUUCUGCUGCGGCGCGCGCCCCGCCUCUCCUUUUAUAGCCUCCUCCCUUUUCCCCCCCACCCCGCGGGGUGCGCGCGCCCGCUCGCGUCACACAGCUGGGGCCGCGAAACCUGUCCCCGCCCCCCAAGUCCUGAGCCAGCCGGCUCCGCCCCUACCCCGCCCCCCAACGCCAUUGGCCAAGUCCCGCCUGACCACGUCCCGCCGGGCGGUGCCGAGCCCGGAGAACGGGAAGGUCGCACCCCCAGGCUCCGAGAUGGCCAAUGAUCCACAGUUUGGAGGGGCUGUAGGCGGGAUUAAAAGAAGUCCUCUCCCCAGGGCACACAACACAGAGAGAAGAGGGAGAGUUUAGAACGAUCAGGUGACAUUUAUCCAGAGAGUAUUAAUUCAAGAGCUGAUUCUGUGUGAAACAAAACCAGUCAGAACUUCUGAGCAGCACGUCACCACUUCAUUUCAUACAGAACAGAGCCCGGAAUUGAUAAUUACUGAAUAAAUGUACAUUUAUCAUGUUCCCUGUUAAAAUUCCAGCAAAGAAACUUGACAUUUUUAGUUAAGCCUGUGUAGCCUUCACACAGAUAAAUGUUCUAUUUCUGUUAGGCUUUCAGAAAGAUUUAAAGAAACAGCUCCACACCUCCGCUCCUCCCCCUCCUCCUUUUUUCUGGCCUGCGUGGGAGACCAGGACACUGGGCGUUUAAGACCCCUUGUGGGGGCGGGGCCCCGGGAGGGCGGGUCUUUGUGUUGCUAGGUUAGUAGGCCUGCUUGUGUCCCAUUGGUUAUUACGUCAUUAAAUCACCAGGCCCCGCCUCCCUGGGCCUGGCCGAAGACCUCGCCCUCCCCACCCCCAAGCCCUUUGCUCCUUGCUGCCCACGCAGCGCCCCUCCACCCCCGUGAACACCGCAGUUCAGAGCUAAAACCACAGAGGCAGAAGAGGCCGGUAUAGACAGCAGGUGCCUAGGUGAAGGGGCGUGGGCACAAACUACAGGUUCAGAGCAGAGCGGGUCCCUUGGCCCCUAACCCCAGGUGCCACCUGCUCAGGCCGACUCUAGGGAGGGGUGGCCGCUUCUGGGCUCCCAGCCUUGAGCGGGCACCAUCGCCCAGGCUCUGUGUCUGGCCCAGGGAAUCGAUCACCCUCUCCUCUGUCCCCGGAGCCCCUAGGACAACUGUACCCCAGGGCUCCGGGGUCCCCUCCUCCUCUCGCCCUCAGCCAGGUUUCACAGCCCUCCUAGGGAUCCCCAGCACCCCACCGAUGGGAGGCAGAUUUUUCCUCAUUCCCCUGCAAUCCUUCAAAGCCUUGGGCAAAACCGUCUGAGAGCAGGGCGAGGUGGCGUGUGCCUGUAACCUUGGUACUGGGGAGGCUGAGGCAGGAAGAUGGCCCUGAGUUUGAGGGCAGCCACAUAGCAAGACCCUGUCUAAAAAUAAAUAAAUAAAUAGAAUCCUUCUGUG